rnacentral:lncRNA from 1 species
GCUUGCAUUUUUUGUCAUGCCAAGAACCAUCGCGUCGUACGACGGGAAGCCUUCCCUUUUUUGUUUCUUGCGUUGCCAACUCAUGAGCGACCAGCCUUCCCUCAUGGAUCCAUUACGUUCCGAGACAAGACUGGACCGGCAGCUCUGCUGCCAGUUAAUGGCAAAAGCUACCCGCCUCCUCGCUUACCUCAAGCAUGUAAAACCCCUCCCGAUACGAGCUACUGAGCUACAGAUCUGCCAAAGAUAUUGGACUCACUCAAAUCUAUCUACACGGGGGGAUAAGAGAUACUAACUUUACUCAUGGUCGUCGUCGCCGUAGCAGUAAUCGUAGUAACAGUGAAUAAAGAGACACCUUAACUCCUCUUCGUCGUCGUCGUCGUAGUAAUUGUAGAAACUGUAGAAAGCAGUAACAGUUGGGGUCCGGCACUGUGUGCCCCGAUACGAACGGGAACUUUCACUGUGAGAGCAAGUGGCAUCAUUGGAGAGAGAUGAGAAGGCAGGGGAAAAGAGAAAACAGAAGGCGCGGUUGCCAAGGGGGGUGGUGGCACACUGUGGGUGGAAAUGGCCAUGCCUGGCAAUGGCAAUGGCGGGACCUGUACUGCAGAUACAGUCAUGGGCCCUGAGAAGAGAGACAGAGAGAGAGAGAGGCGCGGUGGAAAGAUUUGCGUUUUAGUGCGCGCUUCGCGGCACAAGGAGACGAAUCGAUGGAGACUGGACCUCUUCCUCCACCACCUCGUCUCUUCCUCUCUCUGGCGCUUCGUCUUUGGUGUCAGCGACUGGUUACGUCGCUCUCCUCUUCCUCGCCGAUCCAAUUACCCUUCUCUUCCUCUCUCUCUCCCUUCCUUGGCUUCGGGGUUCGUGUCUCAUCUUCCUCCACUGCCCCUGCCAUCCACCCUGUUUGGCAGUGCGACUUCUCUGUGGGACCGCUUUGUCUGCUUGUGGGCAUCACCA